rnacentral:rRNA from 1 species
GGGACGAACGCUGGCGGCGUGCUUAUCACAUGCAAGUCGAGCGGAAAGGCCCUUCGGGGUACUCGAGCGGCGAACGGGUGAGUAACACGUGAGCAACCUGCCCUUAGCUUCGGGAUAGCUCCGGGAAACCGGAAUUAAUACCGAAUAUGACUUUGGCUGACAUCAGCAGAAGUGGAAAGUUUUUCGGCUAGGGAUGGACUCGCGGCCUAUCAGCUAGUUGGUGAGGUAACGGCCCACCAAGGCGACGACGGGUA